CACGUAGGGCGCGAGCGUUGUCCGGAAUUACUGGGCGUAAAGCGCACGUAGGCGGAUUGUUAAGUCGGGGGUGAAAUCCUGGAGCUCAACUCCAGAACUGCCUUCGAUACUGGCGAUCUCGAGUUCGGGAGAGGUGAGUGGAACUGCGAGUGUAGAGGUGAAAUUCGUAGAUAUUCGCAAGAACACCAGUGGCGAAGGCGGCUCACUGGCCCGAUACUGACGCUGAGGUGCGAAAGCGUGGGGAGCAAACAGG
rnacentral:rRNA from 1 species